UAGGGAAUAUUGGACAAUGGGCGCAAGCCUGAUCCAGCAACGCCGCGUGAAUGAUGAAGGCCUUAGGGUUGUAAAAUUCUUUCGCUAGGGAAGAUAAUGACUGUACCUAGUAAAGAAGCCCCGGCUAACUCCGUGCCAGCAGCCGCGGUAAUACGGAGGGGGCUAGCGUUGUUCGGAAUUACUGGGCGUAAAGCGUGCGUAGGCGGACUGGAAAGUCAGAUGUGAAAUCCCGGGGCUCAACCCCGGAACUGCAUUUGAAACUAUCAGCCUAGAGUUCUGGAGAGGUAAGUGGAAUUCCUAGUGUAGAGGUGAGAUUCGUAGAUAUUCGGAGGAACACCAGUGGCGAAGGCGGCUCACUGGCUCGACCCUGACGCUGAGGUGCGAAAGUGUGGGGAGCAAACAGGAUUAGAUACCCCUGUAGUCC
rnacentral:rRNA from 1 species